ACAUUUCUUCAUUUUUUUUCGUUAUCAAUAUUUCCAUUUUUUUUUUUAUUUU
rnacentral:ribozyme from 1 species